AGUUUGUAUAGCAGUGUCCCCUAUGUGUACCAGGUUGAACACAAUACAGUUUGUAUAGCAAUGUCCCCUAUGUGUACCAGGUUGAACACAAUACAGUUUGUAUAGCAGUGUCCCCUAUGUGUACCAGGUUGAACACAAUACAGUUUGUAUAGCAGUGUCCCCUAUGUGUACCAGGUUGAACACAAUACAGUUUGUAUAGCAGUGUCCCCUAUGUGAACUAGGUUGAACACAAUACAGUUUGUAUAGCAGUGUCCCCUAUGUGUACCUGGUUGAACACACUACAGUUUGUAUAGCAGUGUCCCCUAUGUGUACCAGGUUGAACACAAUACAGUUUGUAUAGCAGUGUCCCCUAUGUGUACCUGGUUGAACACACUACAGUUUGUAUAGCAGUGUCCCCUAUGUGUACCAGGUUGAACACAAUACAGUUUGUAUAGCAGUGUCCCCUAUGUGUACCUGGUUGAACACACUACAGUUUGUAUAGCAGUGUCCCCUGUGUGUACCAGGUUGAACACAAUACAGUUUGUAUAGCAGUGUCCCAUAUGUGUACAAGGUUUAACACAAUACAGUUUGUAUAGCAGUGUCCCCUAUGUGUACAAGGUUUAACACAAUACAGUUUGCAAAGCAGUGUCCCUUAUGUGUACAAGGUUGAACACAAAACAAUUUGUAUAGCAGUGUCUCCUAUGUGUACCAGGUUGAACACAAUACAGU